GCGCGGGACUGGGCUGGACCAGACAGAACCGCUAAGUCAUCGCUGGGCGCGGAGGAGGAGGAGCGAGGGGUCACUGAAGGGCGGCGACCGGCCGAAGGCAGCUGUCCAGGGCCUAAGACAAGACUUGCCUCGUUAAAAAUUCAGGUUGUGUAGUCUUAAAAGUGACAUCCAGAAGCCUCAUAAACCCACCUACGUAGGAACACAGCAGUUGUAGAGGUGGAGAGAGGAGCAACCAGAAUUAGAGUUCAAAUAUACCUGACCAACAGCUGUGACACACUGGGGACUUUAACAUUCACUGGGGACUGUAAACUUUGACACAGAUCACUUAAUUCUCUGAAGACUGGAUCCAACAAUCACGAUGAAUACAAGAAUGUGCUAUGGUAGCAUGGUGAGUUCCAGACAAACCCGAGAAUUCGGUACAGCUGGGGAAGGAGGCCCAAGUCCUGAGAUGGUCUUAGAAGCAGAACUGAUAGACCUCAGGGAAAGUGAUGAAAUAGUUGACCUCACCUGCGAAUCGCUAGAACCUACAGUGAUUGACCUAACUUGCCACGACUCUGUUGUGAUUACUGAAGAAAGGAGGCGACGAGGGGGGAACACAAGGUCAUUCCAAGGCCAAACUGGCAGCUCUGUGGUGAGCAGUGAUAAGGAGGAGUUGAUGAGAAACAGGGAUGUAUAUGUGACCGACAGUACCUGCCAUAAUGCCCUGGAAGAAGAAGCUGUAAGUUGCACACUACCUGGUUAUAUC
rnacentral:lncRNA from 12 species